rnacentral:lncRNA from 8 species
GUUGUCGCGGUGCCACAGUGCAGGCGGAGGCCCUCUCAGCAGACGAACCGGUGUUAGCACGACGCUGUGUCGUUACGAAGCUGCCGGACUUCACCAUGACGCAAAAGCUGGGGGUGCUGAGGCAGAGCGCUGCCACUGUACUCCUCCUGCUCCCCAAAAAACAUGGCCACCAUCCCCCAGGAUAUCAUACAGAGCUUCAUGGUGAGUGAGAGCGAAGCGCUGCUGCAGUCUACCAUCAUUCCUGUGUAUGCGACAACGGAGGAAGAGCAGCUCCUCUAUAUGUCCGAAGAGGUAACCAGAGAUUUUCACCAUCGUCGCCCUAACCGACUUGCACCGGGUCCCUGUGGUUGUCCCCGAAGCCGGUGUCAUCCCGCUGCUAGUGCAGCGCAUCAGGUGGUUGGGGGAGGGGGGUACUGUCACAGAUCCCCCCCCCCGGUACUGCUGCUCAUUCCAUUCACCAGCUCCGGAGGUCUACAUCACCUGCUUUCUAGGCUUCACUGAACUGGAUUCAUUACCACCAACCCCGGACUGUCUUGUCUCGCUAUGCACACCUGGUUCCCAUUCCUCCUGAUUAGUAUGCUAUAUAUGUGCCCUCUGUUCCCCAUUGUCCUUAGUCGGUUAUUGUUCCCAUGUCCGUUAGUCUUUUGAGUGCCUGUGCUUUGUUGUUUCGGCUUUCGUGCUACGUGUAUUGUGCACUUCUUAUUUCGGGUCUCUUCCCGUGUAGUGUUAUUACGGGUUGCAUCCUGCGUAAUUAUUAGAGGUUAAACCUCGCACUUUUGUUUGGGUUACAUCCCUGUGUAUUUUAUAUACCUGUUGUUUUGGGCUUUGUCCCCGUGCCUUUUUCAUGACAUGCUGUAUUUUUGGGUGGAGUAAUAAAAAAAACAUAUUACGUAUUCCACCUACAGCACCCGAUGUCACAGGAAGGCCAAAAAGAUCAUCAAGGACAACAACCACCCGAGCCACUGCUUGUUCACCCCGCUACCAUCCAGAAGGUGAGGUCAGUACAGGUGCAUCAAAGCUGGGACCGAGAGACUGAAAAACAGCUUCUAUCUCAAGGCCAACAGCCAUCACUAACAGAGAGAGGCUGCUGACUACAUACAGACUUGAAAUCAUUGGCCACUUUAAUAAAUGGCUCACUAGUCACUUUAAUAAUACCACUUUAAUAAUGUUUACAUAUCUUGCAUUUCUCAUAUCAUGUGUAUACUGCAUUUUAUACCAUCUAUUGCAUCUUGCCUAUGCCGCUCGGUCAUCGCUUAUAUAUAUAUUUAUAUGUAUAUAUUCUUAUUCCAUCCCUUUACUUAGAUUUGUGUGUAUUAGGUAGUUGUUGUGGAAUUGUUAGAUUACUCGUUAGAUAUUACUGCACUGUCGGAACUAGAAGCACAAGCAUUUUGCUGCUACACUCGCAAUAACAUCUGCUAACCAUGUGUUUGUGACCAAUAACAUUUGAUUUGAUUUGUAUUGUGUGUAGAUUGAUGAGGGGGAAAAAAUAUGUGUAGCGUAAAAGGUUGUAACAUAAAAAAAAGUGUUAGAAGUUAAGGGGUCUGAAUACUUUCCGAAUGCAGUGUGUGCCCAUGUUGAUUAGCUAACAUUAACUAGGCUAUUUGCUGGGAAUGAAUGGGGGUUGGAUGGAUUCUGUAGGGUUUAUAAAAAGGGCAUAAUGUGUUCAAAAGUGUCUGGAACCCACUCGUCUUCAUGUGCAAACUAGUCUAGACAGAAGGAGCUGUUAAAUGUCAACAUACAUCAAAAGGUACAGUACCAGUCAAAACUUUGCACACACCUACUCAUUCCAGGGUUUUUCUUUAUUUUUACUAUUUUCUACAUUGUAGAAUAAUAAUGCAGACAUCAGAACUAUGAAAUACCACAUAUGGAAUCAUGUAGUAACAAGAAAAGUGUUAAACAAAUCAAAAUAUAUUUGAGAUUCUUCAAAGUAGCCACCCUUUGCCUUGAUGACAGCUUUGCACACUCUUGGCAUUCUCUCAACCAGCUUCACCUGGAAUGGUUUUCUGACAGUUUUGAACACAAUUACAUUUUAUCAAUGGCAAUUUGAAUUGCACAGAGAUACCGUGACAAGAUCCUGAGGCCCGUUGUCAUGCCAUUCAUCCGCCGCCAUCACCUCAUGUUUCAUGAUAAUGCACAGCCCCAUGAUGCAACUUUUUUUUUAAACGUAUCUGUGACCAACAUAUGCAUAUCUGUAUUCCCAGUCAUGUGAAAUCCAUAUAUUAGGGCCUAAUUAAUUUAUUUCCAUUGACUGAUUUCCUUAUAUGAACUGUAGCUCAGUAAAAUAUUUGAAAUUGUUGCAUGUUGCAUUUAUAGUUUUGUUCAGUGCAGUUCUGGACUUUCUGCAACAAAAUUAGAUUUUAGUUUGGCACCCUGAGGUUAUACGAAUUCUGACAAAUCAGUACAUUUUAAUCACGCUGAGGAUUUUGGGCAAUUCAUUUUUGUCAAUUAUUAUUAUUUUACAUAUUUUGUUUAUUGUUUUUGAAAUUGUCUUUGACUUCAGUAACCUAUUUGUUCUAUCAUUUAAGGACUCAUGGAAGUUGUGUCUAUGAUAAAAUCGUUUCCAAUCUUUCACACAAGAGGUUUUGCAUGUCAGCGUUUGAGGCUCUAGAACAAAAACAUAUGGUGGAUGAGACUGAAAUACUGAAGUAGUAGGAGUGGAACCUUCAUAAAUCAUUGCUAUGACGUGGAACCAAAGUUGGCAUCAGGUGAUGCUGUAAACAGUAUACAAACGAACCACUGACUUGUAAGAACAGUAGACUGUAUGCUGGUAUUUAGUAUAUCCACCAGAAGGAGCCAAAGACUAAAUAUAAAUCAGUUAUUUUUACACUACCUUGUCCCCUUACGUUUCAACCUAGGCCUUCUCUUGGAAAAUCCGUGUAGCAGUGCAUAUCUGAAGUCAGCAAGAUAUGUUUAUAUACCUGGUCUCUUAAGCUCAGAUCAGUUACCAACCUAAUGUUAAGUAAAUAAACUAGCAGACACAGUGUCCAAAUACUAGUACAUGAUCUUCCUAAAUCAAUUUUUUUCAAAUGAUGUUUUUGAUGAUACGUGGAAAAGGCUGUAUCUAGCAUUGGUUAAGUCUGAACCUCACAUGACAAUGGCUUGGAGUACAAUAUGAGAAGUCAUGGAAUUUGUAUUGAUUGAUACGUAGAAGAACAUUAAAACCGAGGUGCAUGUUCUCUCUUCUAACAGUGAUAUUUUUUUCACUAUUGAAACUGCACAUAUUCCUCAUUUAAUUCCAUUGAGGUUAUGUCUGAGUCAAGGUCAGGCAAUAUUGCUAUCAAACACAGUGUAGUUUCAGAGUAAUAUUCCACAAAAUACAUUAUUUGAGAUUCAGACAGGGAACAACAAGAGGUUGAGGUUCUAAGCUUUUCUUUAAGUGACAAGAAAUGUUUUAUAUGGCUUUAUGUUGGCAGGAUAUCCAUGUUUUUGUGUUUUGUGGUUCAAUGAUUGUGAAUUAUCGUGAUAUCCAUGGCAUCAGUCCACACAGGAAGUGUGGGAGAGAGACCGAGAGAGAGGAAAUAUAACAAAUAGUUGGCCGUAAAACUCUCCCCGUAGUCUAUCAAUGUCACUGAUAAAUGACUAAAUAUAUGUAUUGAUUAUAAUAUUUGCUCAAAAACAUGUCUCACAUAAAAAUAAAUAAACAGAAAAACAAAAUGAAAGAACAACUAAAUAAAUAGCCCUGAAACAAGAGCCCCAAAGUACAACUUCCCUCCUUUUUCCCUGUUACAACCAGUCUGCUCUGUAUCCAUGUUACAACUAGUAUACUCUGUAUCCAUGUUACAACCAGUAUGCUCUUUAUCCAUGUUACAACAGUCUGCUCUGUAUCAAUCAAAUGUAUUUAUAAAGCCCUUCUCACAUCAGCUAAUGUCACAAAGUGCUGUACAGAAACCCAGCCUAAAACUCCAAACAGCAAGCAAUGCAAGUGUAGAAGCACGGUGGCUAGGAAAAACUCCCUAGAAAGGCCGGAACCUCGGAAGAAACCUAGAGAGGAACCAGGCUAUGAGGGGUGGCCAGUCCUUUUCUGGCUGUGCUGGGUGAAGAUUAUAACAGAACAUGGCCAAGAUGUUCAAAGAUGACCAGCAAGGUCAAAUAAUAAUCACAGUGGUUGUAGAGGGUGCAACAGGUCAGGAGAGAGAGAGAGAGAAUACUUAAAUUCACACAGGGUUAGGGCACGCGCAGAACUCCCUCCGCAACUCCUCCACUAACCUCACUCCUUUCCAGUGCGUGUUGGGGUAUCAGCCGGCCCUGGCACCUUCGCGCUGAGGAGACCUGGAAUGCUGCUCACACUUGUCUCCAGAGGGCCGUGCGUUGGCACAAGGAACAGGCCGACCACCACAUUUUCCCAAAUUUGAAACCCUUAUUCAAGGUUUCAAAGACCUCUGAUAAGGAUAGGCUACCCGUCCUGUUGGGGGAGGACGCAGAGAGCUGUGGGUUGGCAGCGCACUACAUUGCUGCCUGCCAUAAGUUGAGGGACAGUGUCUGACAGACCAAUCAACCUGCACAUGUACUCUACUGUAUGCUUAUUGUUAUUGUUGAAUGUAUGGUUAUUUUGUUGUUACUGUUGUCCCGUUGACAAUUUUGAUUCUCAUUUUUUUUAUAUUAUUUUUUAUAUAUAUUGCAAAUAUCCAAUAUAAGUUUUGGCAGUAUAUACAUUGUUACGUCAUGCCAAUAAAGUGAAUUGAAUUGAAUUGAAUUGAGAGAGAGAGAGAAUACUUAAAUUUACACAGGACACUGGAUAAGAUGUAUCCAUGUUACAACCAGUCUGCUCUUCUGGACAAACUUGCCAAAAUGAUAGGGGAGGAAGUUACGUUUUCAGAGGCUGAGGAGCAUGAUCAUUACUCAUCUUUUUUG